rnacentral:lncRNA from 1 species
GACGAAGGCAAGGGUCGAGCCCUGACCUCUCGGCUCUGUUGCUGCUGUUCGGUUAAUGGCGAGCCGGGGAGUCCGCCGUUUCCAGUUUUUCUCCGAGUUCCGAAGCCGGUGAGAGCUCCAUCGUCGCGUCGUCCUCCCCAACGCCCCUGUCACUCCGAAAUCUGGAGAUAGCCGCUGCCUUCGCCGUUGCUGAAAAUGGAGGACCAGCGAGCUUCAUCGCGCCGCUGUCAUUGGGAAACCGGUGAACGCCUGCUGCUUCACCCGCGAGUCGCCGCCCACUCGUCGUCUCUCGGCCCGACUGAACAGGACCGCGUCCCUCGUUGUCUAAAAGCUAAGUUCUUCAAGUUUCGUUCCCCUCUUAUUCUACGAAUUAUAGGUGUUGUUGUGCUAAGUAAAAGGCCAUGAUUUUUAAGCCUAAAUCGUGUAUGGUUACAUGCUGUUGGUUAUACAUAGAAGUGAACAUGCUGUUGUUUUUUUUUAAUAAGUAAGAAGUGAGACGAUAAGGCUAUGUGUGUAAGUCAUAGUGUGUUUGAUUCUAUAGAAGUAACUAGUUAUGCUACUCCCUUCGUAUGAUGCAUUUCAAUCUAAUGAAUAUGAUUUCUGUGGGUGUGC